rnacentral:misc_RNA from 1 species
GAUGAAGAACGCAGCGAAAUGCGAUAAGUAAUGUGAAUUGCAGAAUUCAGUGAAUCAUCGAAUCUUUGAACGCACCUUGCGCCCUUUGGCCAUUCCGAAGGGCAUGCCUGUUUGAGUAUCAUGAACACCUCAACUCUUCAUGGUUUUCCAUGAUGAGCUUGGACUUUGGGGGUCUUGCUGGCCUGUGGGUCGGCUCCUCUCAAAUGAAUCAGCUUGCCGGUUUUUGGUGGGCAUCACAGGUGUGAUAACUAUCUACACUUGUGGUUUUCCACCAGGGUAACCUUCAGCAGUGGAGGUUCACUGGAGCUUACAAAUGUCUCUCCUCUGUGUGGACAGCCCUUUGAAUGUUUGAUCUCAAAUCAGGUAGGACUACCCGCUGAACUUAAGCAUAUCAAUAAGCGGAGGA